UGUUUCGGCUAGGGGGCCAUCCCGGCUUACCAACCCGAUGCAAACUGCGAAUACCGGAGAAUGUUAUCACGGGAGACACACGGCGGGUGCUAACGUCCGUCGUGAAGAGGGAAACAACCCAGACCGCCAGCUAAGGUCCCAAAGUCAUGGUUAAGUGGGAAACGAUGUGGGAAGGCCCAGACAGCCAGGAUGUUGGCUUAGAAGCAGCCAUCAUUUAAAGAAAGCGUAAUAGCUCACUGGUCGAGUCGGCCUGCGCGGAAGAUGUAACGGGGCUAAACCAUGCACCGAAGCUGCGGCAGCGACACUGUGUGUUGUUGGGUAGGGGAGCGUUCUGUAAGCCUGUGAAGGUGGCCUGUGAGGGUUGCUGGAGGUAUCAGAA
rnacentral:rRNA from 1 species